GACGUAGGGCGCGAGCGUUGUCCGGAUUUAUUGGGCGUAAAGAGCUCGUAGGCGGCUCGUUGCGUCGGCUGUGAAAACCCGCAGCUCAACUGUGGGCUUGCAGCUGAUACGGGCGGGCUGGGAUUCGGUAGGGGAGACUGGAAUUCCUGGUGUAGCGGUGAAAUGCGCAGAUAUCAGGAGGAACACCAGUGGCGAAGGCGGCUCACUGGACCGGAACUGACGCUGAGGCGCGAAAGCGUGGGGAGCAAACAGG
rnacentral:rRNA from 1 species